UACAGAGGUCUCGAGCGUUAGGCGGAAUCACUGGGCUUAAAGCGUGGGUAGGCGGAUCGUUAAGUGCCUUGUGAAAUCCCACGGCUCAACCGUGGAACUGCUUGGCAUACUGGCGGUCUUGAGCAACCUAGGGGCGAGCGGAACAAAUGGUGGAGCGGUGAAAUGCGUAGAUAUCAUUUGGAACGCCAAUGGUGAAAACAGCUCGCUGGGGGUUUGCUGACGCUGAGACACGAAAGCCAGGGGAGCAAACGGG
rnacentral:rRNA from 1 species